rnacentral:lncRNA from 1 species
CGCGGCUCCCACCGGAGCAAAUGGCCACGUCUGUGGUUUCCUGACAGCCCUUCCCCACAAAUCCCUGUGUUUAAAUUUGAUAACAUUUAAUUAAAAUAGAUGAUUAAUUACUGUCAUUUAAUUUAGAAGAACUUUCUUCUAUCUUAAUGUGUGGGUUUCCCAUGGAAACCACUUCAGCUCGGGCGGCCCUCCACGGCGGCGUUAUUAGCGGAGCCGCCUGCGGGCCUCCCUAGCUUUCCUGACCGUCUGUCGUGCUCUCAUCGCUUCCAGGGCAAACACUGCGUGUUGUGACGAAGGCUCCAGCCAGCCCUUGGGACCGGCGCUGGCGCAGCCGCUCGCUCCCGCCCCCCACCCCGCCCGUCCCCGUCGCCCCAAAGCGGAUCUUUCACCCAGCAGUCGCAUAUCCGUGCCCCAGGAAUCAAACUGGCUACCACGUGGAAGGUGCUGGCAGCACGAUACAUUUUUGUUGUAGAGGGACCAAAGACUACAGGUGGAAGAGGAAGGACCUGCCUUAUCCGGACACGAGACUCACAGUUCUGUUAAUGGAACUGGUGUCCUGCAGUUGACGUGGUAAGAGAACGCCAGCUCCUGGUUGCCCUGCCUGCAACCGGGUUUCCAAGUCAGCCCCACCGCGCGGGGGGCCUCGUGGGCAUCGCCGUGCAGAGGCUGGCUCCAAAGACUCCCUCUGGCUCCGUGGCUGCAGGCACGUCAAGAAUGAAACAGGAUGAACAGGUAUGAAGGCUUUGCUUUUUACUGAAAAUGUGUUUUUCCUAUGUGAGGCCAUUGCUUCUGGCCCCCUCUUUGUUUUCUGUUCCUUUAGCGAGAUCUGGUGAAGGUAAAAUCAGCCAGGAGUUGAAACCUGCCUCUGGAGCUGAUUUUGUGUGAUCCCACUGAGCUGUUUGGCCAUCAGCACCGUAAUUACGUGUAUUCAUCUCUGUCGAUGGGUGGUUCUCUAGGAAGAUCUAUUUUCAGGACCACAUGUUUACACUGCUGAGGGGGAGGAGGUGCAUGAUCAAAGGCCUCUGGCUGAGCAUGGGGCUGGCAGAGCCUCCAGGCUCAUGGGAGAAGAUGGGGGGGGGGCGGUGAGGACAAAGUGGAGAAUGCACUUGGCUAAAGACAGAAGUGGCUACGCUGCUUUUUCAGCAUAAUGGAAAUUGCCCAAAGGUUGGAAAACAAGGGAGCAGCCUGUCCACACAAACAGGUUUAAAGUGUUAGGAACCGAGGACAGAUGCGCCUCACUGCGGCCAAGGAAGGCAGGAAGGGUAGGCAGCUGCUGGCAGCAGGUGCCACAGGAUGGUGGACGGGCCUGGAAGCUUCUCCGUCUUGCGCUCUGGUUGUAGGGGUGGCAGGAGGGGCCUUGUGCACGAGCAGGGUCCCUUCAACUGUGUGACUCUGUUCAGAGCCCAGUGCUGCCUUUUCCAAGGCUAAUCGCUCUGUAGCUUUCCUCAGGCUGCCCUUCGGGGCAUACCCUGAUCAGUCUUCGUAUUAGCAAGGACAAAGCGCCAGCGCAGGGCACACGGGCGCUGCAGGGGCGCUUCCAGUCUUGGCUCAGUGCUGUGACCCGGCCUCUCCGUUCCUCAGGCUGCCUUGUGCAUAAAAUGGAGAAUCGAGUCUAGGAUUGUCGCAACGAACGAGCUGGCACACGUGAAGCACGAGUGACACAAAGCUUAGCUCCUACUGUUGAAUAGCAACUCGGGGCGGGGUGGGGGGGGGAGCUAUUUUAGCCAGGGAGCACUUGUUCCCGCCCAUCUCUUCGUGUUUUUGUCCUUUGAGAUACAGAAGUGGUACCGGUGACUUUCUCUGCCGAAGUUCUGGUUUUGGCUAAAACAAAACCCAACAGGAACAUAACCAGUUCAGGAAGCCGUGGUCUCCUGAGGAUGCCACCCUCAGUCACAGAAAUGAAACAGGCCGACGUGUCCAGAGGAGUGAAACUUUUUGUCUGUUUGGGGUUUUUCUCUUUAUUCCUUUGCCACCUUUAUAUUAGAGCAUUCAGGGUUAUUAUAGGGUUUCAUUAAUGAGCGUAGAGUAGAAAUUCAGGUUUUCUUUGUUAAAGGUUGGCCAGCACAGAACAUGUAACAUGACCUGAGAUUGGGCAAGGAGAGCAGGAGCUGCCUCCUUACAAAGGUUACAUCUAUUUGUGGGUGAAAAGGCCUGGAGGCCUUUCUGCGGUCCUUGAGGACUGCAGCCCUGGGGGCCUGGGCAGGGCCUGGUGUCCACGUGGGCAGCGCCUAACCACCCCCGCCAGCCGCCCCCCCCCAACCCCCGCUCAUGGAGCAUAGAUGGAGAUGGACACAGGCCCUCUUGUUUCCCUAGCUCCUGUCCAUAUUCUCUGUGAAUAUUAAUCCUUUUAUUUCCUUCUUCCCUGAUUUUUAAAAAAAUAUUCAUUCAUGACAGACAUAGAGAGAGGCAGGCUUCAUGCAGGGAGCCUGAUGAGGGACUUGAUCCUGGGACUCCAGGAUCGCACCCAGGGCCAAAGGCAGGCGCUAAACCGCUGAGCCACCUGGGCUGCCCCUUCUUCCCUGAUUCUAAAGAAUACCUUUCUCAGAGCACCUGGGUGGCUCAGUUGGUUAAGUGUCCAAUUCUUGAUUUCGGUUAGGUCAUGAUCUCAGGGUCGUGAGAUCGAGUCCUGUGUUGUGCUCUGCUCUAGGUAGGAGAUU